rnacentral:rRNA from 1 species
UGGGGAAUAUUGGACAAUGGGCGGAAGCCUGAUCCAGCAAUACCGCGUGUGUGAAGAAGGUCUUCGGAUUGUAAAGCACUUUAAGUUGGGAGGAAGGGCAGUUACCUAAUACGUGAUUGUUUUGACGUUACCGACAGAAUAAGCACCGGCUAACUCUGUGCCAGCAGCCGCGGUAAUACAGAGGGUGCAAGCGUUAAUCGGAAUUACUGGGCGUAAAGCGCGCGUAGGUGGUUAGUUAAGUUGGAUGUGAAAUCCCCGGGCUCAACCUGGGAACUGCAUUCAAAACUGACUGACUAGAGUAUGGUAGAGGGUGGUGGAAUUUCCUGUGUAGCGGUGAAAUGCGUAGAUAUAGGAAGGAACACCAGUGGCGAAGGCGACCACCUGGACUGAUACUGACACUGAGGUGCGAAAGCGUGGGGAGCAAACAGGAUUAGAUACCCCAGUAGUCCCUGAGCGGGCUGGCAAGGCGCAU